rnacentral:rRNA from 1 species
UGCGUAGGCGGGCUAAUAAGUCAGUGGUGAAAUCUCUCGGCUCAACCGGGAAACUGCCAUUGAUACUGUUAGUCUUGAGUUCGGUUGAGGUAGGCGGAAUGUGUAAUGUAGCGGUGAAAUGCUUAGAUAUUACACAGAACACCAAUUGCGUAGGCAGCUUACUAGACCGACACUGACGCUGGGGCACGAAAGCGUGGGGAGCGAACAGGAUUAGAUACCCUGGUAGUCC